GAUGAACGCUGGCGGCGUGCCUAAUACAUGCCAGUCGAACGAAACUUCUUUAUCACCGAGUGCUUGCACUCACCGAUAAAGAGUUGAGUGGCGAACGGGUGAGUAACACGUGGGCAACCUGCCCAAAAGAGGGGGAUAACACUUGGAAACAGGUGCUAAUACCGCAUAACCAUAGUUACCGCAUGGUAACUAUGUAAAAGGUGGCUAUUCUACCGCUUUUGGAUGGGCCCGCGGCGCAUUAGCUAGUUGGUAGGGUAAAGGCUUACCAAGGCAAUGAUGCGUAGCCGAAUUGAGAGGUUGAUCGGCCACAUUGGGACUGAGACACGGCCCAAACUCCUACGGGAGGCAGCAGUAGGGAAUCUUCCACAAUGGGCGAAAGCCUGAUGGAGCAACGCCGCGUGGGUGAAGAAGGUCUUCGGAUCGUAAAACCCUGUUGUUAGGGAAGAAAGUGCGUGAGAGUAACUGUUCACGUUUCGACGGUAUCUAACCAGAAAGCCACGGCUAACUACGUG
rnacentral:rRNA from 1 species